GAGGAUGGGCGCAGCCUGAUCCAGCCAUGCCGCGUGCAGGGAAGAAGGCCUUCGGGUUGUAAACUGCUUUUGUCAGGGAAGAAAUCUUCUGGGUUAAUACCUCGGGAGGAUGACGGUACCUGAAGAAUAAGCACCGGCUAACUACGUGCCAGCAGCCGCGGUAAUACGUAGGGUGCGAGCGUUAAUCGGAAUUACUGGGCGUAAAGCGUGCGCAGGCGGCUUUGCAAGACAGAUGUGAAAUCCCCGGGCUCAACCUGGGAACUGCAUUUGUGACUGCAAGGCUAGAGUACGGCAGAGGGGGAUGGAAUUCCGCGUGUAGCAGUGAAAUGCGUAGAUAUGCGGAGGAACACCAAUGGCGAAGGCAAUCCCCUGGGCCUGUACUGACGCUCAUGCACGAAAGCGUGGGGAGCAAACAGGAUUAGAUACCCUGGUAGUCCACGCCCUAAACGAUGUCAACUGGUUGUUGGACGGCUUGCUGUUCAUUAACGAAGCUAACGCGUGAAGUUGACCGCCUGGGGAGUACGGCCGCAAGGUUGAAACUCAAAUGAAUUGACGGAGG
rnacentral:rRNA from 1 species